AUGAUCAAGCAUUAUUCAAAUUCGAGUUCAUUCAAACUCAUUCAGUUUUCAAGACCUUGUUUCAAGAUCAAUUUUCAAAUGGCAUUCAAAGUUUACAAGGCAUUCAUGAGAAGUAUAUAUGGAUCAACGUUCCUAAGAUUCAAGCUUACAAAGAUAUAUUCAAUCACAUGUUACAUCCAAAUUCCAACCUUUCAAAGAAACUACAUUUACAAGCAUACAAGUAACAAAAUUGUUUCAAGAAAGCCUAUACUAAUUUUCAUAUUCAUGACUUUUCAAGCAUCAAUAUAA